UUGAAAACACUGUAAUAAAUCAUCUCCUUUAUUUUGCUCUGCAUCGCCAUAUCUCACCUCAAACACAACUUGCAGACGUCAACUCCGGCUACCGGAAAAAGCGACAACCUAUGUAAUUUCACUCUUUUGUAUUCAUCCCAACGUCUCUACCGUCACGCUGAUGCUGGUUUUGGUCCGGGUAUGAACCGGGUACGAACCUACAGCUCUUUUCAAAUGCUUGCAUGGCCAUUCAUAAUCCAGGGGCGGACCUACCUUAGGGGAAGGGGUAGCCUCCGCUACCGCUUGGCGCUCCGGCGGUAG
rnacentral:lncRNA from 1 species